GUCAGGCCGUGCUGGGUGCGGGCACCUCGGGGGCAGCUGCCGGCGCAGUAGCGGAAAGUGACUUUCUCAUCUGAAGCGUAGCCCAGGCCCAGCUCUGCCACGGGCAGGGUCAGGCUCCACAGCUGGCAUGGGCUGCCAGGGGCUCUGCGCAGGCGGGCACGAGGGUGGCGGGUGCCUGGGGAGAAAAAGGAUGCUAACAAAGGCAGGGUCCCGGCAGGAAGGAGUUGGGAGGUUGAAGGCUUCCCGGGGGUCCUUACCCAGUGGUGGCCUCCAGUUCCCCCUGCCCUCUGCUAUGUGCUCAGGCAAGAACUCUCCCUCCACCAACGGAGCACCUCGGGCAUCAGGGCCCCAGCCGAGGCCCAGCUGCAGCGACAGGAGCAGCAGUGAAGCCAACAGGACUCUCCCUGUGGCCAUGGUGACAGGCAGGUCCUGAGGCUGGGGAGCCCCGGCCCUGAAUUUAUACCCUGCCUGGGGCGGGGGGAGAGGUGCCCAUGUCCCAGUCUGGUUUGUCCCAGGUUCUCAGGUCCAAGCAUGGGCUCCUUCUGCCCCACACCCCGUCCUUUAGGAGUUAAGGGCUCGUCCCACCACUCCCUGUCCAGACAUUCCACAGACCCGUUUCCAACACCCCCUGAUUUACGAGUCAUCUGGCAGCCAGGGCCAAGCCUGGGGUGGAUGACAGGUGUCCCCACCCUACCUGCUGUCUGGAGGGGUCCCAACCCAUGAAGGGAAGAGCAGGGACCCAGGAGCCCCCAUGGGUGCUGCAUGGGGCCAACACGGGCUGGGAAGGGGGGCUUGGCAGGUGGCAAGGCGGCAGGACCCUGCUGUCGUGGCCGCGCCAGGGAUUAAGCCAUCAUGCCUGUCUCCCGCCCUGGCUGAGCCAGCAUCAAAACAGGAAGAGGGAGAGGCUGGGGGACAGCCAGGCGCAGGGACACGGGGGCAGAGACUCUGUGGAAGGCCAAGCCGGGACCCCAUGGCUGCGGCUUCAUCCAGGGGUCAAAGAGCAUCACAGCCUGAGGGGAGGCCGAGUGUGAGAUGGAGCCCACGGCAGGUCAUGUACCGGGGAUGGAACCCAGAGCCCUGCGCAUUCGUGCCAAGCGCUCGCCACUGAGCGCCAUCCCCACCCCAUUAUCGUGAGACGAGGUCUUCCUAAGUUACUCAAACCACCGGCUUCGAACUUGCAGGCUUCCCUCGGCUUCCCAAGUAGCUGGGGUUAAAUAUCGGGUUUGUGUGUGUGUGUGUUUUGCUUUUUGAGACAGUCUCCUUAUGUAGUUCAAACGUGUGACAAUCCUGCUGCCUCAGCUUCCUGGUACUGGAAUGAAAGGCAUGUGCCACCAUGGCUGGCAGAAGUUGGUUUUUGUUUUUGCAGUGCUGGGGUGAAACAUGGCAGGCAAACACACUCUUAACACUAAGCAACCCCCCCCACCAACUCUUUUUUAUUUUGAGACAGCAUCUUGCUAAAUAAAUUGCCCAGAGUGGUUUCAAACUCAA